UAGAAAGAGAGGACAUACCAGAGAACUACGAUGAUGUCAUCACUGCUGGACCCAGCCCUGAUAUUGUAGCAGAGGACGUAUCUGAGAAUUAUGAUGAUGUCAUUACUGAUGAUCAGAACGCUGCUGUUGUGACAGAGGAGAUGACAGAGAACUAUGAUGAUGUUAUUACCACUGGACUAAACCCAAACAUUACAGCAA